rnacentral:rRNA from 1 species
UACGGAGGGUGCAAGCGUUAUCCGGAUUCACUGGGUUUAAAGGGUGCGUAGGCGGCUAAAUAAGUCAGUGGUGAAAGCUUACAGCUUAACUGUGAAACUGCCAUUGAAACUGCUUAGCUUGAAUCUGGUUGAAGUGGGCGGAAUACAUCAUGUAGCGGUGAAAUGCUUAGAUAUGAUGUAGAACACCGAUUGCGAAGGCAGCUCACUAAGCCAACAUUGACGCUGAGGCACGAAAGCGUGGGGAGCGAACAGG